rnacentral:rRNA from 1 species
AUGGAAUCGGCAAUUGGCGCGGCAACCGGGCUCGUCGGCAGCGUGGUGAAUCUGCUGUCCAACGAGCUCGUGGGGGCGUACGUCGCCAGCACCGAACUCGGCCUCAACUCCGUCGAGAUCAAGAAAGAUCUCCUGCACGCGCAGGCGCUGCUGCAAGAGGCCCAGCCGAGGGGCGCCAAGGACAACCACGGCCUGAAGGGGCUGCUGCAGGAGCUCACCGUCAAGGCCGACGAGGCUGAGGAUGCGCUGGAUGAGCUCCACUACUUCAUCAUUCAGGACCAGCUUGACGGCACCCGCUACGCGGUGCCGGACCUGGGCCAUGACCUUCGCGGUCAUGCUCGCCACGGUCGCCAUGCUAUUCGCCAUGUCGUCGGUAACUGCCUUGCAUGCUUUUCUUGUUCGUCGACUAUGAAAGAUGAUGAUAGUGGUGGUGCUGCUGCUGUUCCUAUUAACCCACUCAAUGCAACCAAGACUGAUAGUGCUGGUCAAGAUGGUCCAGUUGAUAAGCUGAAAUUCGAUAGAGUGGCCAUGUCCAAGAAAAUUAAGUCAGUGAUGGAGGAACUACACUCCCUGUGUGAGCCCGUAUCCAAUUUGCUCGGCAUAACUCCACACCAGGGUAGCACUGAAACUGCUGUCAACCUAAAUCGUCCUCCAACGGGAUCAAUCAGUGCGCAGCAUACAUUGUAUGGCAGGGCAGACAUUUUCGAGGGAACCAAAGAUGAUAUAACCAGUGGCAGAUUCUAUACGGAAACCCUUUCAGUUCUUCCUGUAGUUGGUCCAGGUGGUAUUGGAAAGACAACUUUCGCCCAACACCUGUAUAAUAAUAAAAGGAUACAAGAGCACUUUGCUAUUAGGGUCUGGGUAUGUGUAUCGACUGAUUUUGAUGUGCUUAAGCUCAGCCAACAGAUCCUUAGCUGCAUUCAAGGAAGCAACUCCCCAAAUCAAACAACAAGUUUAGACCAGCUCCAAAUAUCCAUCGCAGAGAAAAUCAUGUCGAAAAGGUUUCUAAUUGUGUUUGAUGAUAUAUGGAAAUGCAAUAAUCAGGGCUGGGAAGACCUGCUAGCUCCUUUGAGGAAAGGGGAAACCAAGGGUAACAUGGUUCUCGUCACAACUCGAUUUCCAUCCAUAGCUGAAAUGGUGAAAACAGCACCUUCAAUACCACUGAAAGGCCUCGAGUCUGAUGAAUUCUUCACAUUCUUCGAAGCAUUCAUAUUUGAUGAAAAAAAACCUGAGUACCAAGGUGACCUAGCAAUUAUUGCACGGGCCAUUGCUAAGAAAUUGAAGGGUUCACCUCUAGCAGGCAAAACCGUUGGUCGAUUAUUGAGGAAGGAGAUUUCUCGGAAACACUGGAUGGAAGUUCUCGAAAACAACAAAUGGCAAAACCAAGAAAAUGAUGAUGGCAUUAUGACAUCUCUCAGGAUUAGCUAUGAUUACCUUCCUUCUCAUCUGAAAAGAUGUUUCCAAUAUUUUGCCUUAUUCCCUGAAGAUUACAAGUUUAAGAAUUUAGAGAGUACAUAUUUCUGGAUUGCAAUAGGAAUCAUAGAAAAAGAUGAGGAUUACAUGGAACAACUAGUGGAAAAUGGUUUUGUUGUGAAGGAGAAUGUUCAUUGGUCAAGCCAACAGUACUAUGUACUGCAUGAUUUACUACAUGAACUGUCCCGAAGUGUUUCCUCACAAGAAUGCCUCAAUAUAUAUGAUAGUAAAAGGUUUAAAGCUGAUGCCGUUCCAAAAUCUAUUCGUCAUUUGUCCAUUACCAUUGAAGACAACUAUGAUGUGACUUUUACUGAAGAAAUGAUUAAGUUGAAGAGCAAGGUAGACAUUGCAAAUUUGAGGGCUUUGAUGAUUUUUAGAAGAUAUGGAGAAACAAUUGAUGAGAUUUUAAAUGAUACUUUCAAGGAUGUAGAGGGUCUUCGUGUCCUAUUUAUAGUUGUGAAGUCCCCAAAUUUGUUCCCAUGUGAUUUCUCAAAACUUAUCCACCUCCGAUACCUAAAAGUUGGAACAUGGGACGAAGUGACUUUGCCUAGCACACUGUCCAGACUUUAUCACCUAAAACUAUUGGACCUGAGUGGUUGGCAUGGUAGUUAUGAAUUGCCUAGAGACACUAGCCGCCUUAUCAGUUUAUGCCAUUUUAUUGCUGGAAAAAAAUUCCAUUGCAAUAUUGCUGAGGUUGGAAAGAUGAAGUGUUUAAAGCAGCUUAAAGAAUUCCAUGUCAUGAAAGAGAGUGUUGGAUAUGAACUGUGUGAGUUGGGGCAGUUAACAGAUCUUGGAGGAGAACUAUGUAGACGUAAUCUUGAAAAGGUGACAACCAAGGAUGAGGCUAUGGAAGCCAAACUUGAGUCAAAAGGUGAUUUGGAAGGGUUGGGGUUGGUUUGGGGAUCAUCUGAUGCCGUUGAUGGUACAACAAAAUUAGUUGAUGUUCUUGAUGCUCUUCAGCCACACCCUAACCUUGCAGCACUUGGCAUCAUAGGUCAUGGUGGUACAAGUGGUCCUAGUUGGUUGUGUGGUGACAUUAACUUUGAGUUGUUGGAGUAUCUUCAUCUAGAGGGAGUAUCUUGGGUCACUCUUCCUCCUUUUGAGUACUUGCCGCAGCUCACAUCACUCACAUUGAGCAACAUUCAUGAAGUUAGUGAGAUCCGCCAUGUCUUUGGUGGCGCUACAAACAAAAGUUUUUUGCAGUUGAAGCUGAUUGUCCUUGAUUCAUUGCCUGAACUUAUUGAGUGGGUUGGGGUGCCUAAUGAUUCGUUUGCAAGGCUUGAAACUAUUUAUUGCAGGUCAUGCCCCAAUCUCCGUACACUACCCUUCCUGCGCGAGUACUCUGCUGGCUGUUAUAACCAUCUAUCGAAACUCGAAAUUUUUGAUUGCCCAAAGUUGUCUCUCCCACCCAUGCCUCACAGCUCCACAAUGAUAGUUUGUGAUGUGAGACAUAGUUCCGCAGAGCUGACUUAUUAUGCAGGGAACAAGAUGUAUAUUAAUGGGUAUAAUGGUGAGGUGGACUUGCAUAACCUGCGAAAAGUAGAGAAAAUGAGUAUAACAGAUGUAUCACACAUUUCAAUGACAGAGCUGACCAAUCUGAAAUCCCUAAGAAGACUAGAUGUCAGAAGAUGCAGCUUCACGUGCCAUGGACUCCAGGACCUCUCGUGCCUCCAAUAUCUUACAGUAUACAACAGCAUCAACUUCUUUCCAUGGCAUACCGAAGCAGCUCACACCAUCAAGCUUUUCCCUGCUUCCCUGGAGACACUUGAGAUUGAAGGAGAGUCAGGCAUGCAGUCAAUGGCACCGCUCAGCAAUCUGAAAUCCCUAAGAAGACUAGAUGUCAGAAGAUGCAGCAUCAGGUGCCAUGGACUGCAGGACCUCGCGUGCCUCCAAUCACUUACAGUAAAAGAAUGUGGCAACUUCUUUCUGCGGCCCAUCGAAGCAGCUUACACCAUCAUCAAUCCUUUGCCUUCUUCCCUCGAGGAACUUGAGAUUGAUGGAGAGUCAAGCAUGGAGUCAAUGGCUCUGCUCUCGAACCUCACUUGUCUCACCGAUCUUGUACUGGUGAACUCUGAGAAUUUAACAGUGGAUGGUUUUAAUCCUCUUAUCACAGUCAACCUCAACAGUUUGAAGAUCUACAACAGAGGAAAUUGUCUUAGCCGUUCUGUAUCAGCGGAUUUGUUCUCAAAAUUGGUGGUAGCAAGGACUAACCUAAUAUUGCCUGCAGGCUCCUUCCAGCUGCGAGAACUUACAGUGGAUUGCAUCUCAGCAGUGCUUGUUGCUCCCAUCUGUAGCCACCUCGCCGCUACCAUCAAGACUUUAGAAUUCUGGUAUGAUCAGCGGGCAGAAAGCUUCACAGAAGAGGAAGACAGGGCUCUUCAGCUCCUCAAAUGCCUCCGUUUCAUCAGUUUUAUGGAUUGCCCGAAUCUGCUGUGCCUUCCUCAAGGCCUACACAGCCUUCCUUCUCUUAAGACACUAUUUGUCCAAGAUUGUCCUAAAAUCCGAUCUCUGGACAAGGGGGACUUUCCCACUUCACUGGAGUGUCUAUUAGUGCAGGGUUGCAGUCCCGGGCUACAAGAGCAAGCCAAGCAAUUAAAAGGAACAAAACCAGCUUUUAAUGUGAUACUUGAACUUGAGUAG